CGAAUGACUCUCGGCAAUGGAUAUCUCGGCUCUUGCAUCGAUGAAGAACGUAGUGAAAUGCGAUACUUGGUGUGAAUUGCAGAAUCUCGUGAACCAUUGAGUCUUUGAACGCAAGUUGUGCCCAAGGCUUUGUGGCCGAGGGCACGUCUGCUUG
rnacentral:rRNA from 1 species